UCUAGUGCAGAUCUUGGUGGUAGUAGCAAAUACACAAAUGAGAACUUUGUGGACUGAAGUGGAGAAAGGUUCCAUGUGAACAGCAAUUGGACAUGGGUUAGUCGAUCCUAAGAGAUAGGGAAGCUCCGUUUUAAAGUGCAUGAUUAUCCAUGCCGCCCAUCGAAAGGGAAUCCGGUUAAGAUUCCGGAACCAGGACAUGGAUCUUUGACGGUAACGUAAAUGAAGUUGGUGACGCUGGUAAGGGCCCUGGGAAGAGUUAUCUUUUCUCCUUGACCGUCUAU
rnacentral:rRNA from 1 species